GGCGGCAUAGCCAAGUGGUAAGGCGAAGGACUGCAAAUCCUUUAUCCUCGGUUCGAUUCCGAGUGCCGCCUCCA
rnacentral:tRNA from 1 species